AGUUAGCCAUUGUUAGCUAACGUUAGCAGCUAGCUAGUGUAUAACGUGUAUCAGCCCUGUCUACAACGCGAAUUAAAGACUACAUGGGGUGUGCUGGAGUCAGAGCAGAUCCCCACCAGCUGCAACCUGUUCAAUAACCAAGACCUCUACUAAUACUCAGCUGUGCCACUUCCACGCUGCCAGAUCAUAAUCUCUGCUCAUUCUGCCCGCUCGGACUCUGGUCCCUGUCUCCAGUCCCACAUCUCGUCAUCCUGCUACUCUGUCCUGGAUUCCCCACUCUACUACUCCCUUGGAUUUCCCUCCGGACCUGCUUACCCUUUCCCAACCCCACUCGCUCCAGCCUCAGCACCUGGUUUCCAGCAACACGCCCGAGCUUCCCCUGACCUGCACUCCAUCUCUCCCUUGUUUCAAUAAAUACCUUGGUUACUUUAUCCCAGUCUUCUCGUCUGAGUCUGCUCUUGGGUUCCCCUGUUCCACUCCGCGUAACAGACAGUAAUCAAGAUGGGACAAGAUCAAAGCCUGAACAAAUGUGUUGUUCCCCAGCCCAGAGAUGAGGACGCUGUCCCAUCCACUG